UUCAAGGUGAUAAAAAUAUUAAUUAGAAGACACAUAACAUGCCUCAAGUAUAUCAACACUUGACUCCAUAAACAAGGCAUAACCAUGAAAACAACAUUCCCUUUAUUUUGGGCUCCCAAAAUCAAAAGUAAGAUUAGAACUAAUUUAAUCUAUCACAGAUAUUUAGUAUACUCAAUAAUGCACAAUUUAUUUAAAAAAACACUAAUAUUGUACAAUGUUUCUGUGUUUUAGUUUUUCCCACAGCUGUUGAAAAUUUCAGCCUUUAUUUGAAACAUGACCUGCAUGACAGACUAUAAGUUGUCAAUAGUUAUGUUUCUUUGGAAAAGUACAGUUGUGGCAUUUACUCAUUUUAGCAGAUAGCUAAAAGGGAAAAAUAAGAAAAAAUAUACACUGGACCUGCAGUUAACUUCUUGACAAUGCCAAGGAUAAAAAACAGAUGAAACAACAUUUGUUGAAGAUGAAAAGGUAUUGCAUUGAUCUUAAUAGAUGUUGCGAUCUCUGGGUGAGGAUGCUGACUGACUAGACUGCAAUAUAGAGACACUUUUUCAUUUCCCUAUUGUUCCUAAUACAGAAUUGUAGAGCUGGAGAGUACCUUCAGUUUUCUAAAUCUAUUCUCAAACAGGAUAUCACUAACCUCUUUAGAAUCAUUCCUCAAUAUACAUCAAUUUAUUGAGAACUGCCUAAUACUCAAAAGAAAUGGAACCCUGAGUUCAGUAAGCUGUGUUCCAAGCAGGAAUUAUUUUCACUUACCAAAAUAUCUCCUGUUACCUCAAGGUAUCCUUGUGGAGGAAUGCUAAAUUUUAUGUAUCAAGUCUAGACCAUAGAGUGCUUUGGUGGGAGUAUUUUGAUUAUAUACCUCCUACCCAUCAGAAGCAGGCAGCUAAUAUUGUGAACCGAGUAUUUUUGUCAAAAGUCACAGAGAAGAGACUACAGAAGAAUGAGAAAGGUCAAAUGGACCUAGUGUGAUUGAGUACAUGGAUCUUGUCUCUUGGAGGUCUGUCGUAAAAGAGAAAGCACACAGAGGUGAAGACACAGAUUGUCUUUUUUCAUUCAGCUUGAGAUACUUCUCUUUUUUGGUAUGAUGGGUAAUUUUUUAAAUUUCAUUUGAAUAAUCAGAGGUGUUCCCAUCAUAAUUACAGUAACAUGGAUUAAUGUGUCCCAACCCUAGAGAUGAAUUUGAUUUCCUCAUUAUGUGUAUUAUCUUUAUCAUCCUCUCAGUAUUUGUUUUUCUUCUUCUUUUUUUAUUGUACUUUAAGUUCUGGGAUACAUGUACAGAACGUGCAGGCUUGUUACAUAGGUAUACACGUGCCAUGGUGGUUUGCUGCACCCAUCAGCCUGUCAUCUACAUUAGGUAUUUUUCCUAAUGCUGUCCCUCUUCUAGCCACCACCUCCGGACAGGCCCCGAUGUGUGAUGUUCCCCUCCCCGUGUCCAUUUAUUCUCAUGGUUCCACUCCCACUUAUGAGCGAGAACAUGUGGUGUUUGGUUUUCUGUUAUUGUGUUAGUUUGCUUAGAAUGAUGUUUUCCAGCUUCAUCCAUGUCCCUGCAAAGGACAUGAACUAUGAUGAGUAAUUUUUGAUAGAAACAUGGUCAUUGGAAGGAAUUUCAAGAUGGCCAUCUUUAUUCAGCUGCAAAGGGUCACUCCCACAUACAGAGACUAGGAUUUCAGCUAAACUAGCAUAAUUUGAACAGAUCUUUGGAGAAAAAAAAUGUUAAAUGUGGAUGGAGAAUAGAUGCAGAAGCUGACACUGAUG
rnacentral:lncRNA from 10 species